GGAAGAAGAAGAAAGAGUGAGUGCGAGCGUGGGCCGCACUAUGCACUGCCGAGUCAGUGCGUCCCGACUCGGCUGAGCCAUCAAGUCUAGAUCAGUCCAGAUUCUUGCUAGUAAGAAGGAAAGGAAGGAGAAUAAGAGAGAGAAGGAGAGAAGGAGAGCAUGACUCGAACCGAGUCAACUUUAGAUACAAUUCUAAGGGUACAAGCACUUAGUGACACUAGAAGGCGAUUCAAAGUAUAAGGUGAUGAUUCUUCCCCUUGAGCUUUCCAUCUUCUCAUUAGCUUAUGUUAUAGUUUUUAU